UACGUAGGGAGCAAGCGUUGUCCGGAAUCAUUGGGCGUAAAGCGCGCGUAGGUGGCUUCGUAAGUCCGUUGUGAAAGUCAAAGGCUCAACCUUUGAAUGCCGAUGGAUACUGCGGAGCUAGAGUACGGAAGAGGCGAGUGGAAUUCCUGGUGUAGCGGUGGAAUGCGCAGAUAUCAGGAGGAACACCAAUAGCGAAGGCAGCUCGCUGGGACGUUACUGACACUA
rnacentral:rRNA from 1 species